UACGUAGGGACCAAGCGUUGUUCGGAUUUACUGGGCGUAAAGGGCGCGUAGGCGGCGUGACAAGUCACUUGUGAAAUCUCCGGGCUUAACUCGGAACGGCCAAGUGAUACUGUCGUGCUAGAGUGCAGAAGGGGCAAUCGGAAUUCUUGGUGUAGCGGUGGAAUGCGCAGAUAUCAGGAGGAGCACCGAUGGCGAAGGCAGGUCACUGGGCCGCAACUGACGCUGAGGAGCGAAAGCAUGGGGAGCGAACAGG
rnacentral:rRNA from 1 species